CAGGAGGAGGAGCUCAGCCCAGCGGCGGCAGGCAGAGGGGGAGAGCCGGACGCCCCCGCUCGCCCGCCCGCCCGGCCCGCCUGCCUUCCUUCCCUCCGCGCUGGGUCUGCGCCCGUCGGCGGCGGGGGGGAAGGAAAGGAUGGCCAAGAAAGCACCUUUGGAGGGGGGGCUCUUCGCAGCCCCCCCCCCCCGGCCGCUUUGGCAAGGGUGCCCGAACGCCUUGCUCGACCUGGGCAGGAGGAGGGAAGAGAUGAUCUCUUAAGAAAAUGGUCCCCAACUUGCCGCACACAGCCGAUCACCCUUUGGCCUCUGACUUUUGUUUCCAACGGCGUUGCGACUCUUCACAGGCUUGUGAUGCGCAUUUCCAGCCAACAGUAGGGACACACAACGGGCUCUUUCAGUUUCUCUGACGCCACCGGAACGGGAGCAGAAGAGGAAGACCUGAAUGUUUGGGGGGGCCACGUGGGAGGGUGGGUGAACGAUGGAAGACGGGCGUUUAAAGAGCAGCGUGGAAGGGGGGGACACAGAUGCAAACGGCAGCCGAAUUCAACA